rnacentral:SRP_RNA from 1 species
GCCAGGCAUGGUGGUGCAGGCCUGUAAUCCCAGCUACUCGGAGGCUGAGACAGAAGAAUCACCUGAACCCAGGAGGUGGAGAUUGCAGUGAGUCGAGAUUGCAUCACUGCACUCCAGCCUGGGUGAGAGAGAGAGACUCUGUCUCAA